UGGGGAAUUUUGGACAAUGGGCGAAAGCCUGAUCCAGCAAUGCCGCGUGUGUGAAGAAGGCCUUCGGGUUGUAAAGCACUUUUGUCCGGAAAGAAAUCCUUGGCUCUAAUACAGUCGGGGGAUGACGGUACCGGAAGAAUAAGCACCGGCUAACUACGUGCCAGCAGCCGCGGUAAUACGUAGGGUGCAAGCGUUAAUCGGAAUUACUGGGCGUAAAGCGUGCGCAGGCGGUUUGCUAAGACCGAUGUGAAAUCCCCGGGCUCAACCUGGGAACUGCAUUGGUGACUGGCAGGCUAGAGUAUGGCAGAGGGGGGUAGAAUUCCACGUGUAGCAGUGAAAUGCGUAGAGAUGUGGAGGAAUACCGAUGGCGAAGGCAGCCCCCUGGGGCCAAAUACUGACGCUCAUGCACGAAAGCGUGGGGAGCAAAACAGGAUUAGAUACCCUGGUAGUCCACGCCCUAAAACGAUGUCAACUAGUUGUUGGGGAUUCAUUUCCUUAGUAACGUAGCUAACGCGUGAAGUUGACCGCCUGGGGAGUACGGUCGCAAGAUUAAAACUCAAAUGAAUUGACGGGGUCAUAGCUGUUUCCU
rnacentral:rRNA from 1 species